UGGGGAAUCUUGCACAAUGGGCGAAAGCCUGAUGCAGCAACGCCGCGUGCGGGAAGACAGCCCUAGGGUUGUAAACCGCUUUCAGCAGGGAAGAAACUGACGGUACCUGCAGAAGAAGAUGCGGCCAACUACGUGCCAGCAGCCGCGGUGACACGUAGGCAUCAAGCGUUAUCCGGAUUUAUUGGGCGUAAAGAGCUCGUAGGCGGUUCGGUAAGUCGGGUGUGAAAACUCUGGGCUCAACCCAGAGAGGCCACUCGAUACUGCUGUGACUAGAGUGCGGUAGGGGGAGCGGGGGAAUUCCUGGUGUAGCGGUGAAAUGCGCAGAUAUCAGGAGGAACACCAGUGGCGAAGGCGCCGCUCUGGGGCCGUAACUGACGCUGAGGAGCGAAAGCAUGGGUAGCAAACAGGAUUAGAUACCCUGGUAGUCCAUGCCGUAAAACGUUGGGCACUAGGUGUGGGUCUCAACCAACGAGAUCCGCGCCGUCGCU
rnacentral:rRNA from 1 species